GCCGGUCGUGGUGGCGCACACCUGUAAUCCCAGCCACUCGGGAGGCUGAGGCAGGAGGAUCGUGAGUUAGAGGCCUGGUAAUGUAGGGAGACCCUCUGCAGCUUAGCAAGACCCUGUCUCAA
rnacentral:sRNA from 1 species